GUGGGGAAUAUUGCGCAAUGGCCGAAAGGCUGACGCAGCGACGCCGCGUGUGGGAUGACGGCCUUCGGGUUGUAAACCACUGUCGGGAGGAACGAAUACCGGACGUCGAAUAGGCGAUCCGGGGUGACGGUACCUCCAAAGGAAGCACCGGCUAACUCCGUGCCAGCAGCCGCGGUAAUACGGAGGGUGCGAGCGUUGUCCGGAAUCACUGGGCGUAAAGGGCGCGUAGGCGGCUCAUUAAGUGGCUGGUGAAAUCCCGGGGCUCAACUCCGGGGCUGCCGGUCAGACUGGUGGGCUCGAGCACGGUAGAGGCGGAUGGAAUUCCCGGUGUAGCGGUGGAAUGCGUAGAGAUCGGGAAGAAUACCGGUGGCGAAGGCGUUCCGCUGGGCCGUUGCUGACGCUGAGGCGCGACAGCGUGGGGAGCAAACAGGAUUAGAAACCCGGGUAGUCC
rnacentral:rRNA from 1 species